rnacentral:pre_miRNA from 1 species
UAUCUACUCCCUCCGUUCGGAAUUACUUGUCGCAAAAAUGGAUGUAUCUAGACAUAUUUUAGUUCUAGAUACAUCUAUUUUCGAGACAAGUAAUUCCGAACGGAGGGAGUAGGAA